rnacentral:lncRNA from 1 species
UAAUAAUCUUUUGUCCAUUCUUUAUUUUAUUGUUUUUUGUUAAUCAAAACUAUAACAUCUUGUGACAUCAAUUUUUGGAUAAUUAGAGAAGCAUAAUUCUUUAUUAUUUAUUAUGAAAUUGAUAUAAUAUGAAAAAAAAUAGAGAUGAGAAUGAUAUAAUAUAAAGAAGUGAUGUGACAUUAUUGUGGGAUUUAAUUGGAUGUAAGUGGGUGAUGUGGAUUAGAGUUAAGAUGGAUAGUA